rnacentral:rRNA from 1 species
ACGCUGGCGGCGUGCCUAACACAUGCAAGUCGAACGGAAUUAAGGUGCUUGCACCUUAAUUUAGUGGCGCACGGGUGAGUAACGCGUGGAUAACCUACCCUGGUAUCCGGGAUAACAUCUCGAAAGGGGUGCUAAUACGGGAUAAGCCCACGGGGUCUUCGGACCCUGCGGGAAAAGGUGGCCUCUAUUUAUAAGCUACUGUAUCAGGAUGGGUCCGCGUACCAUUAGCUAGUUGGUGGGGUAAAGGCCUACCAAGGCGACGAUGGUUAGCUGGUCUGAGAGGAUGAUCAGCCACACUGGAACUGAGACACGGUCCAGACUCCUACGGGAGGCAGCAGUGGGGAAUUUUGCGCAAUGGGGGAAACCCUGACGCAGCAACGCCGCGUGAGUGAUGAAGGCCUUCGGGUCGUAAAGCUCUGUCAGAGGGAAAGAAAUGUAUAGUGGUUAAUACCCAUUAUACUUGACGGUACCCUCAAAGGAAGCACCGGCUAACUCCGUGCCAGCAGCCGCGGUAAUACGGAGGGUGCGAGCGUUGUUCGGAAUUAUUGGGCGUAAAGCGCGUGUAGGCGGCUUCUUAAGUCUGAUGUGAAAGCCCCGGGCUCAACCUGGGAAGUGCAUUGGAAACUGGGAAACUUGAAUACGGGAGAGGGUAGUGGAAUUCCUGGUGUAGGAGUGAAAUCCGUAGAUAUCAGGAGGAACACCGGUGGCGAAGGCGGCUACCUGGACCGAUAUUGACGCUGAGACGCGAAAGCGUGGGGAGCAAACAGGAUUAGAUACCCUGGUAGUCCACGCCGUAAACGAUGAGUACUAGGUGUUGCGGGUAUUGACCCCUGCAGUGCCGCAGCUAACGCAUUAAGUACUCCGCCUGGGAAGUACGGUCGCAAGAC